UCUGCCUGCGAGUCCCUGAACGAGACUUCAACUUAAACUCACCACUAAUGGCAAGGUUUUCCUUCUCAGUGUCACGCUGUCCAGGGAAUACCAAAGAAUAAUUCUACAGAGGAAAAGCCCCCCAGCCCCGAAAUCCCUUUAACCUUCUACACGUCUAUUUUGGCAUUCUUUAUUUCAAGUCAGUACUCUGAGGUGUCGUGGGUUCCAGCUGCUACUUUCUGGUGCCCGGAUAAAGUCCCAGCGCUGUCUUCAGAGGACAAAUAGCCACAGCUGUUUCUGCGGCUGCCGAGAGUGUGGGAGGAGAAGCAUGGGCUCACUGUGGCCCUUUGGGAUAAACAGAAAGGUGAGGAGACCCAGAAUUCAGGACACACUGGGGCCAUCUCCCUCACACUGCCUGUCCCUGGGGCAGAUUUGGAAGCUACACAGAACCUGGUGCUAGUGGAAAAAUCUGGUGGCACAGGGCUUCAUGUUUUGCAACUUUUUCCUGUAAGCUACAUUGUUGGAAUCAUUUCACAAGCAAACCGUGCCUCCUCCCCAGCUGGCCUACAGACUUCCAGGUCUCCACCCUGGAGUGUUGUAAAUGCCAGUGCAUCAUCAGGCUGAUUCACCAUUUGCGGGCCGGGCAGCAGCGAGGGUACGUGCUACAGAAACCUAAGCAGUUGAAUACAGCACCCCAGCCCAUCGAAAAUACUGAAGGACUGAGAAUGAGCUGUAUCUUGGCGCGUCUCUGGGCUUACAGGAGGAGGCUGACUGAGAACAGGAUGAAACAGAAAAACAAUAUGCCUUGAACUAAUGGGCAGCUCGUACACGAGGAAAGGACUCAGGAGGACAGGGAUGGGAAAAAGGGACGGGGGCAUGCUCAAUUGAUGUUUGCACAAAACUAUCUGUAAAGCCUGAUGAGGUUUAUCAACUCAACCAAAUAUUAUGUGAAUAAAUACAGAAGCCAUGGGAUUCUCUUAUGGUUCUACCUAACAAGGAACAAUUUGAUUUUUAAAUAUGUGUGUGUGUGCACAUGUGUGGAGGCCAGGCAGGUGUCUUCCUCUACCAAUCUCCACCAUAUAAAUACGUUGUUUGUUUCUUUGAGAAAGGCGGGGUCUCAUUGUGUAGCCCUGGCUGUUCAGGAACUCACUAUGUAGACCAGGCUGGCCUUGAACUCACACAGCUCUGUCUGCCUCUGCCUCCCGGGUGCAUGCCUGACUCUAUUAUGUCUUUAGACUGGGUCUCCCCCUGAACUCACUGAUUGGCUACUCUGGAUGGCCAGCACACUUCAGAGAUCCACCUGCCUCUGCUCCACCAGCCCUCGAGUUACAGGGAUCUGCAACCACACCGGCUUUUAUGUGGAUGCCGGGAUCUGAACUCAGGUCCUCAUGUCUGUGCAGCAAGGCCCUUUACACAGGGAGACACACCUUUCUCCAGCCCCAGAAAGUGUAUAUAUUCAAAACACAAACGAUCACUUGGAGAGAAAAAAAAACCUCCUUCACUUACAUGAAGUAACAGAAAAGGAUCUCAAGUGAACACAGUAGCUGUGU